rnacentral:rRNA from 1 species
AUUGAACGCUGGCGGCAGGCCUAACACAUGCAAGUCGAACGAGUGGCGGACGGGUGAGUAAUGUCUGGGAAACUGCCUGAUGGAGGGGGAUAACUACUGGAAACGGUAGCUAAUAACGCAUACCAUCAGAUGUGCCCAGAUGGGAUUAGCUAGUUGGUGGGGUAAAGGCUCACCAAGGCGACGAUCCAUAGCUGGUCUGCGAGGAUGAACAGCCACACUGGAACUGAGAACCGGCCCAGACUCCUACGGGAGGAAGCAGUGGGGAAUAUUGCACAAUGGGCGAAAGCCUGAUGGAGCCAUGCCGCGUGUAUGAAGAAGGCCUUCGGGUUGUAAAGUACUUUCAGCGUGGAGGCGUUACCCGCAGAAGAAGCACCGGCUAACUCCGUGCCAGCAGCCGCGGUAAUUC